AUGGUGGUGAUGAUGAUUGUGAAGAUGAUGAUGGUGGUGAUGGUGGUGAUGAUGGUGAUGAUGGUAAUGAUAGCGAUGAUGGCGAUGAUGAUGGUGAUGUUAAUGAUGAUGAUGAAGGUGAUGUUGAUUGUGGUGAUGACUGUGAUGGUGAUAAUGACGAUGUCAGUGAUGACAGUGAUGAUGGUGAUGGUGGUGGUGGUGCUGAUGGUAAUGAUAGUGAUGAUGGUGAGGAUGGUGAUGAUGAUAGUGAUGGUGGUGAUGAUGAGUGUGAAAAUCAUGGUGAUGAGGCUGGUGGUGAUGAUGAUUGUGAAGAUGAUGAUGGUGAUGAUGAUGGUGAUGAUGGUGAGGGUGAUGAUGAUAGUGAUGAUGGUGAUGAUGUUAGUGAUGAUAAUGGUGAUGAUAAUGGUGGUGGUGGUGAUGAUGGUGGUGAUGAUGAUGGUGGUGAUGAUUGUGAAGAUGAUGGUGGUGAUGAUGGUGUUGAUGAUGGUGAUGAUGAUGAUGGUGGUGAUGAUGAUGAUAGGGAUGAUGAUGAUAGGCAUGAUGGUGAUGGUGGUGAUAAUGAUGGUGGUGAUAGUGAUGAUGGUGAUGAUAGUGACGAUGGUGAUGAUAGUGACGAUGGUGAUGAUAAUGGUGGUGAUGAUGAUUGUGAAGAUGAUGACGAUGAUGAUGAUGGCGGUGAUGAUGGUGGUGAUGAUAGGGAUGAUGGUGAUGGUGAUGAUGAUGGUGGUGAUGAUAGGGGUGAUGGUGAUGGUGGUGAUGAUGAUGGUGGUGAUGAUAGGGAUGAUGGGGAUGCUGGUGAUGAUGAUGGUGUUGAUGAUAGGGAUGAUGGGGAUGGUGGUGAUAAUGAUGGUGGUGAUGAUGGUGUUGAUGGUGAUGAAAGUGAUGAUGGUGAUGAUAAUGGUGGUGAUGAUAGGGAUGAUGGUGAUGGUGAUGAUGAUGGUGGUGAUGAUAGGGAUGAUGGGGAUGGUGGUGAUGAUGAUGGUGGUGAUGAUAGGGAUGAUGGGGAUGCUGGUGAUGAUGAUGGUGUUGAUGAUAGGGAUGAUG
rnacentral:lncRNA from 1 species